rnacentral:tRNA from 1 species
UGGCUCAGUGGUUAAGAGCACUGGCUGCUCUUCCAGAGGACCUGGGUUCCAUUCCCAG